rnacentral:rRNA from 1 species
CCUACGGGAGGCAGCAGUGGGGAAUCUUGCGCAAUGGGCGAAAGCCUGACGCAGCAACGCCGCGUGGAGGAUGAAGGCCCUUGGGUUGUAAACUCCUGUCGGCUGGGAAGAAAUCAUACGGUGCUCAUACCACCGUAUGUUGACUGUACCAGCAAAGGAAGCCCCGGCUAACUCUGUGCCAGCAGCCGCGGUAAUACAGAGGGGGCCAGCGUUAUUCGGAAUUAUUGGGCGUAAAGGGCGCGUAGGCGGCCAUGCGUGUCUUCCGUGAAAUCCCUCGGCUUAACUGAGGACGUGCGGAAGAAACUGCAAGGCUCGAGUCCGGGAGAGGGGGGUGGAAUUCCCAGUGUAGCGGUGAAAUGCGUAGAUAUUGGGAGGAACACCGGUGGCGAAGGCGGCCCCCUGGACCGGUACUGACGCUGAGGCGCGAAAGCGUGGGUAGC